rfam:Schistosoma margrebowiei strain Zambia genome assembly, scaffold: SMRZ_scaffold0000700
ACACUGCUGAGGAGUCCCACAAUAGGACGAAAUAGUUGUUCAGUGU